UACCUGGUUGAUCCUGCCAGUAGUCAUAUGCGUUGUGCUCAAAGAUUAAGCCAUGCAUGUCUAAGUACAAGCCUCACUAAGGUGAAACCGCGAAUGGCUCAUUAAAUCACACCUAAUGUACUGGACAGUCUCAGUUACUUGGAUAACUGCGGUAAUUCUGGAGCUAAUACAUGCGUACUAGCCGCGACUCACGGAGCGGUGCUUUUAUUAGAUCAAAACCAAACGGCCUCGAGCCGUCCCCCUGGUGAUUCUGAAUAACUUUGGGCUGAUCGCACGGACUCGUUCCGGCGACGUGUCCUUCCAAGGUGUGCCCUAUCAACUGUCGACUGUGGCAUAGACGCCCACAGUGGUUUUGACGGGUAACGGGGAAUUAGGGUUCGAUUCCGGAGAGGGAGCCUGAGAAACGGCUACCACUUCUACGGAAGGCAGCAGGCACGCAAAUUACCCACUGGCCGCAGGCCGAGGUAGUGACGAAAAAUAACGAUACCGGACUCAUCCGAGGCCCGGUAAUCGGAAUGAGUACACUUUAAAUCCUUUAACGAGGAACAAUUGGAGGGCAAGUCUGGUGCCAGCAGCCGCGGUAAUUCCAGCUCCAAUAGC
rnacentral:rRNA from 1 species